AUGUUGAAAAUCAACAUCGAUGGGGCGUUUCAUAGUACCAGUGGGAGUGGGGGUUGGGGUUUCAUUAUCCGUGAUAGCGCUGGGGAUGCGCGCGGAGCAGGGACUGGAAAUUUUUUGCAUGCGAGCAGUGCAUUACAAACCGAAGCGGAAGCGUGUUUUAACGCAUUGGCGGCAGCGGCUGCAUGGGGUAUCUCCAACAUAGUGAUUGAAUCAGACUGUCAAAUCCUACUGAAGGCCCUGCAAAGUACAAGCUAUGAUCGAGCUCCUGAAGGCAUUCUAUACAGAGACAUUCGCCAGUUUAUUCGUCUUAGUUUUAAUAUCGUAAACUAUGUGUUUGCUCCUCGAGAUUGUAAUAAGGUUGCCCAUGCACUUGCUGCAUUGGGGAGUAAUGGCCAGGUACCUCACCGUCUGUGGAUGGAGGCUGUGCCUAACGAUGUAUGCGUGUUGGUGGCCAGCGAUGUCGCUGAGCCAGUUGAGUAA
rnacentral:rRNA from 1 species